CCUACGGGUGGCAGCAGUGAGGAAUAUUGGUCAAUGGGCGCGAGCCUGAACCAGCCAAGUCGCGUGAGGGAAGACGGUCCUAUGGAUUGUAAACCUCUUUUGUCGGGGAGCAAAAGACGCCACGCGUGGCGUUCCGAGAGUACCCGAAGAAAAAGCAUCGGCUAACUCCGUGCCAGCAGCCGCGGUAAGACGGAGGAUGCGAGCGUUAUCCGGAUUUAUUGGGUUGAAAGGGUGCGCAGGCGGAAGAGCAAGUCAGCGGUAAAAUUGAGAGGCUCAACCUCUUCGAGCCGUUGAAACUGGGUUUCUUGAGUGCGCGAGAUGUCUGCGUAAUGCGUGGUGUAGCGGUGAAAUGCCUAGAUAUCACGCAGAACUCCGAUUGCGCAGGCAGCAUGCCGGCUCCACACUGACGCUGAGGCACGAACGCGUGGGUAUCGAACAGGAUUAGAUACCCCGGUAGUC
rnacentral:rRNA from 1 species